rnacentral:rRNA from 1 species
GACUACACGGGUAUCUAAUCCUGUUUGCUCCCCAUGCUUUCGUACCUCAGCGUCAGUAUUAGGCCAGAUGGCUGCCUUCGCCAUCGGUAUUCCUCCAGAUCUCUACGCAUUUCACCGCUACACCUGGAAUUCUACCAUCCUCUCCCAUACUCUAGCUUCCCAGUAUCGAAUGCAAUUCCUAAGUUAAGCUCAGGGAUUUCACAUCCGACUUAAAAAGCCGCCUACGCACGCUUUACGCCCAGUAAAUCCGAUUAACGCUCGCACCCUCUGUAUUACCGCGGCUGCUGGCACAGAGUUAGCCGGUGCUUAUUCUGCGAGUAACGUCCACUAUCCCUAGGUAUUAACUAGAGUAGCCUCCUCCUCGCUUAAAGUGCUUUACAACCAAAAGGCCUUCUUCACACACGCGGCAUGGCUGGAUCAGGGUUCCCCCCAUUGUCCAAUAUUCCCCACUGCAGCCACCCGUAGG